rnacentral:lncRNA from 1 species
AUGAUUGCUCCAAUUCUUCGCAUGCCAUCUGGCAUUUCACCAUUGCAGAGUCCAGGUUCGGCUACCCCUCAGGAAUCUUCCUAUCAGGCGAAUCCAUUCCUUACAUUAAAUUGUGAAAGUAGGAGCUCUCAGAAAUUGCACUCACAGAGUGAUCAAAACAACAGUGAUUCGACAGCUUACAAUGAGGGUAAGAGAGGGCACACAUCUGAACCUACAACUGAUUGUGAACGUUUUCCCUCUGCAACUGAUCAAACUAUAAAUAGUAUUUGCUGCAAUGGUGAUCUAAACCAUGUUCAUCUGA